CCGCUGCCCGUGCGGCCCUUCGGGGGUUACGGGACGGGGAAUAGUCGUGAGUCACCCGUCAUGAAAGAACCGCGACAGCU
rnacentral:sRNA from 15 species